AUUGAACGCUGGCGGCAGGCUUAACACAUGCAAGUCGAACGAGUGGCGGACGGGUGAGUAAUGUCUGGGAACCUGCCCGGUGGCGGGGGAUAACUACUGGAAACGGUAGCUAAUACCGCAUACCAUCAGAUGUGCCCAGAUGGGAUUAGCUAGUGGGUGGGGUAAUGGCUCCCCUAGGCGACGAUCCCUAGCUGGUCUGAGAGGAGGACCAGCCACACUGGGACUGAGACACGGCCCAGACUCCUACGGGAGGAAGCAGGGGGGAAUAUUGCACAAUGGGCGCAAGCCUGAUGCAGCCAUCCCGCGUGUAUGAAGAAGGCCUUCGGGUUGUAAAGUACUUUCAGCGGGGAGGCGGUACCCGCAGAAGAAGCACCGGCUAACUACGUGCCAGCAGCCGCGGUAAUAC
rnacentral:rRNA from 1 species